rnacentral:antisense_RNA from 1 species
AAGGACUGUGCUCCCAAUCCGCUUAUGCUCAAGGAAGAACUGCCUGGAAGCCCUCCCUGGUACCAUACCCCAGCCGAUGAGUAUGUACCCCCAGAAGUACUUCCGCUCGGAGAAGAAGGAGACGGCAAGCAGGGUGUACAGGAAGGCCCAGAACCAGCCUGAUGUCAGGAUCAGAACAAAAGAGGAGGACUGCAUAUGUAUGGACCCACUCCAGAUGGCACGGGGACGGGGGGGAGUAGGAAAAGUGGCAUGAGACCAGGCCCACAGAGUAUGGCUGUGCAAGUUGUUUACUGUACGAGGGCACCUGGCCGGGGUCUUACCUUGAAUGGGGGAGAAGAGCUUGAAGAUGAGGGGACAGGCCAAGACAACUACCUGGCCCCGAGGGGUGGCUGGCCAGCAGAUGAGGGAAUGGAGGCACAGACUGAUUAGAAAACCAGCUCAAGGUCAUGUUGCUGCUGGGCCUCCUCCAGGCACUGCUUGUGCUGCACCUCGAUCAUCUGCACAUAGUCACACUCCUCCUGCAGCCUGGCCGCCUGGCCGCCCUGGGGACAAAGACAGGGAGGGCCCAUCAGCCUCAUCCAUAGACUCAGGAGCACCAGGCCCAGUCUCUGGACUGCACCUGCCCUCUCUCUGGAAGAGAUCCAAGUUCCAGAUGGAACCCCAAUACCAACACCAGACUGAAACCU